GCAAGAGCAGAACUCCCCUAGUCCCCUCUAUACGUUUACUCAACCCUUUCCACACCCCUUAAAACCUCAAUAUUGCUUAUUUUACAGAUACUCUACCUUAAAUUCCUUUUGUAGUUUUAUGUCAGUUUGGAAUUAUGUUCUGUAUUUCAAACAGAUCCCCCCUCCACUCUUUGCAGUCAAAGUCUCAUGAUCGAGGGUGAACCUAAUACCGUUAUUCUCAAAACACACUUCAGCCAGAAGGUCUACUCUGACACCAAACAAGCCAGCAUGUCCCUCACCAGGGCCCUGGUCCCAGUGGAGAGAGAUGCAUCCCAUACUGUCUGACCAGGUCAUUUGGCAAGCUGGAGAUCAACAAGAACUCACCAGAGGGAGACAGCACAGUCAACCAGGUUUGAUUUAUCAUAUCCUUUUGAUGGUCUGCCCUGCACUUCACAAAGCAUCGGGUGUGACUCCCUCCUGGAGGCCAUAGAAGGGCCAGGCUAGGUUGGUGCAGAUGGUAGUCCAGAGGGUUUACGUUACCCCUGGCAGUUCCCGCUCCAUAAAGGCAAAAGCAGAGCAUUCUUCCAUCACAUGUACAGCUGAUAAUCAAGAUCUUGCACACUAAUGAGAUGCUAUUGAGCCCACACGACUACACUGUCUGAGCCAAGGACUACAUGCUUUCUGGUGAGUUUUGAUUACAAUACUGGGUGGGGUGAAUAUAUACUGCUCAAAAAAAUAAAGGGAACACUUAAACAACACAUCCUAGAUCUGAAUGAAAGAAAUCAUCUUAUUAAAUACUUUUUUCUUUACAUAGUUGAAUGUGCUGACAACAAAAUCACUCAAAAAUAAUCAAUGGAAAUCCAAUUUAUCAACCCAUGGAGGUCUGGAUUUGGAGUCACACUCAAAAUUAAAGUGGAAAACCACACUACAGGCUGAUCCAACUUUGAUGUAAUGUCCUUAAAACAAG
rnacentral:lncRNA from 1 species